rnacentral:rRNA from 1 species
UAGACGGCAACUGCAUUUGCGCGUACGUGGCAACCAGAUAAACACACAUGGCAACUAUGGUUGGACCACACAUGGAAACAAGGUAAACACACAUGGCAACUACUGUUUGACCAUAUGUGGCAAGUAGUUAAUCACACACGACAACUAUGGUUGGACCACACGUGGCAACUAGGUAAACACACAUGUCAACUAUUAUUUGACCAUAUGUGGCAAGUAGUUAAUCACACACGGCAACUACGGUUUGAUUACACGCGGCAACUACCAUAAAUUAGAUAUGGCAACUAUAGUUAACCAAAACAGAUAGAAUUGCCAUGCUUUUACAAUUACACUUGCCAUCCCGGAUAACUACAUCUGCCAACCAGGAUGGUAACUAAAUCGUCAACCCACGGUGUACCUAACGUAGUUGCGCCAGGAUGUGUGGGCAUUUUUGCUUCGUGCCACACGCGCGGGAUGGAGAUGAGCAGUACUUGUUGGCGUGUGGCACGAAGUAGCCGCGCCCACACGUGUGGGCAAAUCUAAUGUCCACCCACACACAGCCCGUGUGGCUGCCUCCUGCUCACACCUCAUACGGUGUGUGGGCGCAUGUCGUAUAUACCACACGUCGGCGUCCAUAAAUUAAAUGGUUAUAUAGCAAUAUUUCAAACAGGUAAGUCCGAAUUGCUCACAUCAACACAUAGUUUCCCUCAAAAAAAAAGCUUCACCACCAUAUUUUCAGGCUUGGGACUUUCAGCAAUGGCGGUACCUAGAUAACACUUGGCUGUAUUUGUUGCCUGACGGGAUUUCUCAAGAAUAGAUGUACGCACGCUCAGCUUUAGCAUGAUCCGUCAUUGCAGCUAGAUAGCCUCACUCUCCUUUUUCUCAUGCAUGGUCACGAUGCAUGCAUACUUAUUAUCUGACGAAAAUGAACAAAAACAACACCUAGCUAACUGAAGAUGUGCAGCAGGAUUACAUUGGCCAACAUGAUCGUUGGACUGUGUACACAGAUUGCACAAACUGAAUGAAAAUAGCAGCCUAGCUAACUAAAGGAGAGGACAAAAGAGGGGAUCUGGCGACAAAGCACAUGUGGAAGGAUCAGAGGAGAUGGGGGAAUCGACGGCAGAAGAGGAGGGGGUCCGGCGUCAUGUAGGGAUGAGAUGACGGAGCAGAGGUAGAGGAUGAGGAGCGGCGGUGGACAACUAGGUCCGGCCGUGGCAGCCAUGGGAGGUGGACAUGGAGCGGCAGAGGAGACUUGAUGCCAGAGGAGAUGGGGCGCCAUGGGAGUAAGGGGAACGAACCGUGGCAGCGGGAAUACCGGAUUCGACGUAGGAGGAGGAGGACUGGCGAGAGGAGGGCACCGCCUCCGGUGUGCUGCCCUGGGUGCCGCUCCUCCAGCCCUUUGGUCAAAUUCCCCUUCCCAAGGGAAUUUGAGGAUUUACCACAGGUUUGUUUCCUCUUUGAGGAUUUGCCCCAGCUUUUCUGGUCAUUGAUUAUUUGUCAUGCCUUUGCUAGAUUCUUGAUGAUUUGCCC